UAUAUAAUUAAAUUUUGAUUUGUUUACUAGGAGAAAUCUGCUCUUUUUACCAUGAGAGGUUAAUGAUUUCCGUAGUUCUUGGGCUGAAGCAGAAAGUUUUCCAAUUUCUUAGGGCUCUGUUGAUGCUUCUGGAGAAAUAUGGUUUCAUUCUUAUGCUACCUGGACGGAGAAUUUGGGUUCUUGAAUGAAGUUAGCUUCUAUAUUUCAACUGCGUUUGGUAUUAUAUUUUAUAUUUAAUAGUGGUGCUAUCUUAACGCUUAUUAUACUGAUAAUUUGCUGAGGUGGAUUCAUGAUUGUAGAAGGUUCUUUUUUCUUGAUUAUUUAUGAUUUUGGAGAAAAGAAUUGGGGGAAGUAUCUUGAUUAGUUACAUAUGAUCUUUUCUUUUUCAAAUUAUUGUGUUCUGUCACUGCUUGCUAUGCUUUGGCAAAAUAGAUUUUGCAAUAUAUUUCAUGCUUGUAACAGUUGUCUUUGCUUGAAUAUUUGUAAUGGUUGAGCUCAUGUAUGAAAUAGAGCUUUGUUAGCUCUCCCGUUUGACAUAACACUGAGGAUUGCUUGCUGAGGGUUUAGUUAAGUCUGAGGGUUUUGUCAUCACACUGCGGGUUGCUUGCUGAACUUGGUGUGAUCUCAGGAUUGGACCGAUUGUGAGAAUAGAAGAUGAUUAGCACUUGCUCUCUCCAUUGAAAUCGGAAAAGAAUAUAUUUCGUGAUUUUCAUACUUGGAAAAAAUAAGAUCUAUGGAAUCCUGGCAACAUAGAAAUUAAAUUUUUAUGGGUCCAUCCAAUUGUGUGAUUGGAUGUCUCUGAAAGACAUUCUACAUCACUCUUUUGGGGAAUGCAGCAGAAUUUUCAUGUUUUAUAUUAUCAAGUCCAUGUUUGGAUGGUGUGAUUAAUUAAUGGAGGGAUGAGGAAGUAGGUGGAUUUUAAUCCCAGAUAGGGAAUGCUUCAUGCAAUCCUUGUUUUGACUGUGGAGUCAUGUAUUUUAUUUCAAGAUGGAGAAUAAUUCAAGAUAUCCUUGUUUUGACCUUAGGUCAGGUCCUGCCCACUUCUGUGUGUGUGCAUGCACAUGUAUGUGCGGGUGCAUGCAUGAGGUUGUGCUGGAAGUUAUCUUUCCAUCAUAUCAACUGGGCUCGAAGAUCUAAUCCAAUGGUUAGCUUCUAAUGCUAUUUUCUUGGCACUGGACUAUACCAAAUCCAUCCCAUAUCUGUGCAGAUUUUGUGGGAGUCAAGUUUGGUCAACUUUGACCAUGACCAGGUCCAUAUGCAUCCUCAUAAUCGACAUAUUAUUCCACCGAUCCAACUGUAUGUUUGAUAUGGUUUCUUGUUCUUUGUAUAUCGAUCAAUCAAUCAAUCAAGAGAUUGAGAUUGUGUGUGUGUGAGAGAGAGAGAGAGAGACUGUAUUAUCAGUAUGCAAUGCAUAAUAAUCCCCAUGCAAAUAUUUGUGUAGGCUUGAUGAAAUACCGUCAUAGCACAACCAACAAGCGAUCUCUACAGCCACCAUUUUUUAGCCUACCUUAUAAUUCUAGCGAGACAAGGUUGGUUCUACUCAUAUCAUUACUAACCGGUGUACUGUACAAUAUUCUCGACAACACAACAUAUAGGUAGUUCUGCCUCUAAACUUUUAUGUUUGCUUCUUUCCCCUUAUUAAUUUCAGAACUAAAGAGUGCAUCACCAUUUUAUUUUCAGCUUCAUCUAAAUGCUUAUCAUUUGGUGGUCCUCUUUCUUCUCCUCCCUUACUCCCUUUUUUUUUCGUAGUAGUAGGUAUUCUUUGUAUCCUAAAUAGUUGACUUCAUGUACCACCUUUUUUUUUAACUUAUACUAGAGGGAAAUUGUAGCUUUGGCUAUUUUUGACUUCAUUUAUAAAAGGUUUGUUAUUGUCCAAAUUGUUGAAACUUGAAACAGAAUAACAUAAACUUUUGGCUGAGAUUCUUGCUCAUUACAUCCUCUUGUAAGAUUAUUGCAUAUCACAGGGCUACCAUGUAGUUAUCUUCUGUCAUCUGGUGUUCAAAACCUGCCAUGUCAUUUUCUAUGGAAGUUCUUAAACCAUGUUUGUACUUCACCACUGGGAUAAAUUGACAUGCUGAUUCUAAUGUAUAGUUUAGAUAACUUGUUCAUGUAUUAUUCAAGUUUCUAUCUCAUUGAUGCAAAAAUAGAACCCUAUAAAGUGCAGGGGAAAAAAGAACUCAAACAGUUAUAAAGUCUCAUUUGACAAUAAACUCUACAUUGAAGAGCAAAAGAUUUCAUCAGUUCAGCCUACAAUGCCUUGAUUUAUUAUACCUAGCAUGCUAUCAAUGCAUUGAUCUUGUAUCUUUUUUUUUCUUUCCUGAGUGAUUUAUUUCACACUCCAUAAUGUGAAUCUUAUGAAUCCUUUCUGUUGGCAUACCUAUUUUCACAUGUCAAUGAGAGUCUAUUCACUUUGGUACUAGUAUAAGUGAUCCUAAGUUGGGAUAGCAUGUGCAUUUAAUAGAUGUGAAUCCCAAUCAUUUAGAUCAACAGAUACUAUACUAAUUUCUCCAACUUCUUAUCUAGGAAAGAAAAGGCAGGUUGUGGGGUUCUUUUUCCUUCUUUUUUUUUUUUGUCUUGUGAGAAUAAAGUUGUGGGUUUCUUAAGCUUCUGGUCCAGUUACUCCUGCACUGUGCGGUCUGUGCCUAUGUCUGUGUGUACAAGUCUGCAUUUAUGCACACACAUUUUCAUGUAUUUACAUAUGCACUAGUGCAUGCAUAUCCUUGGUGGGAAGACAUGAGUAUGGUCUGCCUGUGUGUAGCACAACAUGUAUUAUAAAUUUUUGAGAAAGGUCUUAAGUUCAAUCUGUUAGACUGAAAUUCAAUUAGAAUUUCAUCAGAUACUGAUGUGAUAACUAAAUUAAGGAUAGCACAUGCAUGGUUGUCUGGGCAAAUGACUGCACAAAGUGCAGAGAAGAUAGCACAGAAAUGGCCAAACUGCUUUUUGUCUUUCACAUCAAAUAGUAUAGUAUGUGUGGGUACGUGUGCAUGCAUGUAUGUGUUUGUACUUCUCUGCUUAGUAAGUGCUUGGGUUCUAGAAACACAAACUCUCAGGAACUUUAUUUAUAGAGAUCAACCAUAUAAAUCUGCUGAGUUAUGUUCAUUGCCUGUGCAUUGAGAUAGACUUCUGCACAUGGUCCAUAGGAGGAUGCAUGAAAUGACUGCACUGUGUUCCUCAUGCUGCACAUUUUCAGGUACGUUCUUCUUUUUAAUGCCCUAAUUUUAUGAUGAAGUUUCACAGGACUGAACAUCCUUCUCGUUUAUAUGGUAUUCCAUGAAGUAAUGGACAACACAUUUUUGCCUUCAGAUGUGUCUCUUUAGGUUUCAAAAUUCUCAAAGUUCUUCUUUUGGGCAUGACAUUACACCUAGUAAUUGGAAGACCUGUCAUUUUUGCCUUGUUAUCAUCUCUCCUCAAUUCUUUGGUACAUGAAUUGACAGGCAUUCCAAUUGCCUUGACCUUUCACUUAGAUGCUUGUGGCAACUUCAUAUUUUUUAAAUUCUAUAAUCUCAUGCCAUGAGCUCUCUUUCUAGGAGUCUAUUUUUAAGCAUGAAAGGGACAUGGAAAGAGUUUGCAUAAUUCUAACCAAAAGAUACAAUUAUAAGGUAUGCAUAGUUAUUUCAACAAAAUUCGUGUUUCUUUUGUCAAGAAAAUGUUCAUUACAAAUUAACAAGUGGCCUAUGUUAAUAAAAUUUCAUGACAGCUUGCAAAUACUUGUCUUCUCUUUGUGGCAACAACUUUAAAGUUAGUUGAUGGUUUACUGCUUUAAUGGGUUUCAAGUAUCAUGCAUUUGACUCAUUGAAACUUGAACUGUUUAUUAUGUUGAUAUUAUUAGUCAAUUCCUGAACACUACAUGAUCAUAGUGCCACUUCUUCACUCUGAAUAAAGUGUAGUUGUUGAGUUUCCCCUAAGCCUUUUUCUUGAACUUACUCUGAGUGGAGCAAUGAUGAGAUUUUUCUUUUUGUGCUUCAAAUUUUUAAGGGAAAACAUGUGAUUAAUAUUACAAAAUAUAAUGCAAAAAUGUAUGCUAAUUAUGACUUGCAUAACACAUAUGCUCGUGACAACUCAUCUAUCUCCCUAUUUUUGAAAUGUCAUACUAUCACCACUCACAAUAAGAAGAUUCCAUUUUCAAUUCUACAUCUUUGACCAUGAUAAAGAAUUGGUUAUAAGAUUCUACCUAGUUGCAUCUUGUUCUAAACUUUUCUAAUAAAUUAGUGGAACAUUUUCAACUGUUUAUCUCUCUCUAAAAAAAAAGAAAGAAAACUCAGCAUAAAACUUGUGUCCUCAAUUUUCCUCAUUCUGAAUAGAGUUACUUGUCAAUGUCCUCUCAGCUUCAUACUUAAAUUCUUAGUCUGGACAGAAACCAAUGCUCCAUCCCCGAGCAAAAAAGGAAAUGAUAGAGAGAAGAAAGCAGAAGGAAAGGUCCCUAUAUUGCUUUAGGGACAUUCUGUAAAUGUUGUGAAUAUUGAUGGAAAAAUCAAGCUGAUUGUUUAUCUUAAUGAAAUUAGUUUGGUUCCAUAUUAGGGGAGGAAGGUGGGGAAGUUUGUGACUCCACAAGAGCAUGCAGUAAAUGGCUUCUACUCAUUUGCAACCUCAUGCAAAAGUUUUUGGCCUUUGCCUGUUGAGGAAGUGACUAGCAAGCAUGUUGCACAUCCAACCUGGAAGAAAAGAUACAAGUCAGUGCAUCUAAAUGACUUGUAAAAAAACUUUGCAAUUUGCCUUGGAAUUAAUGGCGGUACAAGCUUGCGCCUUUCCUAGCAUCAUUAUAUGCUUUGAUGUCAUUGCUUAUGCCUAAGUUCCCUUUUUCUGAAAAUAAAGGCUCGUAUAGAUUAUUUUCAAGCCUCAUAAGAAUUAUUGCAUGCCAUGUUUGUGGGGAAUGGAAAAGUGGAAAUGCUUAAAUAUAUAUGACAGUUGUCAUCUUUCCAUUUUAGGUAAAUAUCUGUGAUACUAUCAAGAUGCAUGGGUCUUCUAAACCCUAGUAUGGGACCUUGACGGUGGAAAGCUCGAGCCGAUCACAUGGGAAAGCUGUUCAUCGCUUGAAUCUAGAAGAGGUGGUGUUCUGGACCAUUAGAUAAGUGCUAUAACUCUUCCUAGGGAUCUUCUUUUACAUCUGAUGACAAAGAAAGCGACAAUUGGAUUCUAUAGAAUACACCAAGAAGAUUAUGUAAUCUUAUUAAUUGAAAAACAAUAUCCUUGUCGCCCGCAUUCUUUUUCUCUUAUUUUCUUUUGGUUACAGUACCGCCAGAUUUCAUUGGUGGACCUGAAGCUUUCUUUCAUGUAUUAAAUAGGUUUAUUUUG